GACGAACCGUGCGAACGUUGUUCGGAAUCACUGGGCUUAAAGGGCGCGUAGGCGGGUCGGCCAGUCCGGGGUGAAAGCCCCGGGCUUAACCUGGGAAUGGCCAUGGAAACUGGCGAACUGGAGUGUGGCAGAGGGGGGUGGAAUUCCGCGUGUAGCAGUGAAAUGCGUAGAGAUGCGGAGGAACACCGAUGGCGAAGGCAGCCCCCUGGGCUAACACUGACGCUCAGGCACGAAAGCGUGGGGAGCAAACAGG
rnacentral:rRNA from 1 species